AUAUCUCUCCGUACGGGAAGGAUGAGAAGCUUCGACUAAGGUUCGAUUCGAGCGCAGCGAGAAAGCGUUGCCGCAGGCAACGACCCGAAGGGCG
rnacentral:sRNA from 1 species